CUGGAGCAGUAAGUCGUCCUGUGGCAGGCCAUGUUCGUGAGGGCGCGUCCCUUGGCACCCCUGUAGCCGCUAUGUUUCCCACGCCCAUGGCAGGCCUGGGAGGUUAUGUUUGCGGGGGGUGCUUUUUUUGUAGCUUCUGUGUUUGCCAUAUUUGAAAGGGGCGGACGACCAUGUUCGUGAACGGCGCUUCCCUUGGUGCACCUGUGGCCGCCAUGUUUUGAGAGGGCGUCUCUGAAUUGGGAUGCGUCUGACAGCAAGUGCGGCAUCCGGGCUGCAGUUGCCGUUGUCUGCUCACAUGUGAAUUAAAAAAACAAUCUUAGCAUAUGAAAUCUCUAAUCACACAUGAACUUGGCGGUUAUUCCUGGUGCCAUGUGGACAACUGCAGCCUUGACACCCCAGUCCACAAACCACGUACAGACCAACUGAGGAAGGAGUAGGGGUUCUUGUUGCGGAAAACCCUCCCCCAACUUGUUCUAGAAGAGACCGGCAUUCACACUUGGAGUGGGCGUCAUCAGCUUGGAAGACACAGCAGUGGGCCCCUCUUAGCAGGAGCGCCCCGUCUUGUGGCUCUUGACGACCCAGAGGGUGACGCUGCAUGGGGGCUCACAGACAUCGGUGCCAUGAGUCGGGGGUGCUCAGGUGAAGGGGCUCUGAUGGUGAGGACAUUCAGAAAUAACAGAGAUUGGCUGGGUGCGGUGGCUCACACCUGUAAUCCCAGCACUUUGGGAGGGAAGCCAAGGCGGGUGGGUCAUUGGAGGUCAGGAGUUUGAGACCAGCCUGGUCAACAUGGUGAAACCCCAUCUCUACUAAAAAUACAAAAAUUAGCUGGGCGUGGUGGCACGUGUGUGUAAUCCUAGUUACUCGGGAGGCUGAGGCAGGAGAAUUGCUUGAACCUGGGAGGCAGAGGUUGCAGUGAGCUGAGAGUGCACCACUGCACUCCAGCCUGGACAACAGAGUGAGACUCUUUGUCUCAAAAAAAAAAAACAAAAACAGAGAUUUACUUACGUUUUCCUCUUUUGUUUGUGUAUAGUGAGGGAAAUUAGGAUGCCAAAAAAAAAAAA